UGCAGUCGAACGGACCUUCGGGUUAGUGGCGGACGGGUGAGUAACACGUAAGCAACCUGCCCAGAAGUGGGGAACAACUUGCUGAAAGGCGAGCUAAUACCGCAUAUGAUGGUCUUUCUCCGGGAGGGUCAUUAAAGGCUUCGGUCGCUUCUGGCUUGCGCUCGAUUAGCUAGUUGGUGGGGUAACGGCCUACCAAGGCAACGAUCGAUAGCUGGUCUGAGAGGAUGGUCAGCCACACGGGGACUGAGAUACGGCCCCGACUCCUACGGGAGGCAGCAGCUAGGAAUCUUGGGAAUGGGCGAAAGCCUGACCCAGCAACGCCGCGUGGGCGAUGAAGGCCUUCGGGUCGUAAAGCCCUUUUGUGGGGGAAGAUGAUGACGGUACCCCACGAAUAAGCCACGGCUAACUACGUGCCAGCAGCCGCGGUAAUACGUAGGUGGCGAGCGUUGUCCGGAUUUACUGGGCGUAAAGGGCGUGCAGGCGGUUCGCUAAGUUCGAGGUGAAAGCUCCCGGCUCAACUGGGAGAGGUCCCCGGAUACUGGCGGACUUGAGGGAGGCAGAGGAAAGUGGAAUUCCCGGUGUAGUGGUGAUAUGCGUAGAUAUCGGGAGGAACAC
rnacentral:rRNA from 1 species